UUUUGACAUGGACUAUCCCUCAGAUAUCCAUGAUGCUGUAAUUUUUUAGGCAGUUUAAUAAGGCCUUGUUAGGUUCACAUGAAUGGCUUAGCCAUUCCUCCCUUAUUCAACACAAUAAAACUAUUCAAGGGUUUGGUUGGCUGCAAAACCUAUUCCAUUGAAUAACCAUUACAGCCUGAUUCCUCAAAACCGUUGAAUAGCAAUUCAAUACCAUCUUUAAUGAAUGGCUAUUCAACACUUCCAGUAAUAUACAAAAUUAUUUUUCUUUCCUUUUCUGCCCAUCUCACAUCCUCUUCAAACUCCCAACUCCCAUUUGAGAUUUUUUCAACAAAUCUCAAAGAUUAUCGUGUGAGAAUGAAAUUUCUCUAUCUUAUUUAAACUUUAUCUUCUUACUUUCUCUUUACCCUCACCAUUCUCCCAAUAUACCUAUGUAGAACGUUUGGAGAAAGCAAGAAGAGGGGUUUGAAAGAACAAUAGUAGUAGCCAAGGCGAAGAAGAUCAACGUAACAAAGAAAGCCUUGAUUCAAGGUUUAAUCAAACCCUCAAGAAUGUCCAAGGGUUGCUUAAGGGUCACAGUAUUCCUGGUAAAAUAUUAUUAACCAGAAGGUCAAAUAUACUUGACAAUUCAGGUUCACAAGAAUGAUCUCCCAAUUAUCAAAGAAGCUUCUCACAGAAUGAUACUGGUACAAGUGAUGACAUGGACAAAUCUGUGAAGAAACAAGCACAUUAUGAUUGAUCAUGGCACUGAUAAUAACAAGAUUAACUGGGCUCUCAAGGACAAAUAAGAGUUCAUAGACAUCAUUGAGACUGUAUGCCGUGGGGCAAGGAAAGGUCGUGGUCUGGUAAUUGCUUUGAAAGAUUACUUGACAAAGUAACGUUACUGAGCAUUCUUGCAACCUGUAGUUGAUCAAAAUGUAGAUUGUAUGUAGAUAUGUGCGUCAUUUGCAAUGCUUGGUUGCAUGAAUGUGGAGGAUAAUCCAAUUAGAGAUGGAACCUUAAAAUAUAUAUUUUAUGUGCUCUUUUUAUGCUUGUUUACAGUAUAGCACCUUAGCUUGGAGUGACUUUCCUUACAGUUAUUUGAUAAGGAACAAGUGUUUUAAUUUAACUAUAUAAAAAUAUAAAUGAUAUGUUUAUAAAGAUGAUAAUCUGUUUAUUCAA